rnacentral:tRNA from 1 species
GUUGGUAGAGCAGAGGACUGAAAAUCCUCGU